rnacentral:piRNA from 1 species
UAAACGGUUCAAGUCUGUUUC